AUCUGCUCCUGUAAAGAUUACAGCCUGGGAGCCCCUAUGGGACAGUUCUACUCUGUCUUAUGGGGUCAUUAUGAGUCAGAACUGACUUAAGGACAACGGGUGAAUAAUAUUAGUAGUAGCUUCUAGGUUUCUGGUGAAAGUGCUACAGGAUGCUGACCUUGUUCUGGCCUAGUCCUCUCUGCUCUUUCUUUAUUACGUAUGACAGGUCGUUCCUGUAACAUUUGAAUGUCUAAUUCUGUUUUUCUUAGACUUUUCCCCAUCUUCUCUCUCCAAAUACCUAAAUAGGUGAUAUAUGCAUUUUAAACAUCUAGGAAUCGAUUCAGCAAAGUAAACAGUUAAACACACUGUUGAACUGCCUCAGUUGUUAUAACAAGGUUCUUUUCUCACUCUUAGUCUGGCCGAAAGUGAACGUCUCCCCCUCCAAGAAGGGACCCCUGCAUGCCACAACCUGCUUGUCUGCCACCUGACAGACUUCUAUCCAGGCACCAUUCAAGUUUGGUGGUUCCGGAAUAGACAGGACGAAACAGCUGGGGUUGUGUCCACUGAACUGAUCCGUAAUGGAGACUGGACCUUCCAGAUCCUGGUGAUGCUGGAAAUGACCCCCCAGCAGGGCGACGUCUACACCUGCCACAUGGAGCACUCCAGCCUGGACAGUCCUGUCACCGUGGAGUGGACUGAGUGACUCCCUGCUGGCCCUGCUGUAUCCCACAGCCUACAGAGCAGGGAAUGCUCUGGCUCUCGGGUCCCCUCAUAUUGAAUUCUGUCACUACACGUUGGGGUCACACCACCCUGUGGUUUUCCUAAUCAAUCCCCUGACUGUGGUUCUGAGCUGAGCACAGUGGAGACCUGGUGAUCUUAGCACAUGUGUAUCCCUGACCUGAGGGAUCCUAAGGAAUCUUUCCUUGUUGGAAAAUCUGAGGAAGGCAGUUACCUUCCCUGCUGGCCCCCAGACAUGAGAAAUGACAUCUCCCUUCAGCCUGUGAGCCUGCACUUAAUGGGCUGAUAUGUGGCACAGACGCAAAAAUCGGCAUUUGCAUCCUGGGGAAGACACCACCCUGAAGCCUGGAUCUUUGGGGUGCUUUCCAUACCUGCUUCUUUUCCACACUGGGUCAGGCCUGGCCUUGUUCUCUCCCUUCUCUCUUCACAGUCUAUAGAGGCCCAGUCUGAUUCUGCAUGGAGCAAGACACUGACUGGAGCUGAGGACUUUGUGCAGGGGCUCAUCUUCCUCAUAAUGAGCUUUAUUCUCCAUUUCAAAAGCCAGCAAGGGCUCCUAAAAUGAUCUCAAAGACCACAUGUCCCUUGGAGCAAGUAUUUUUGAUACUUCUGUUUCCAGCAACCUCCAGCCUCCAAAGAGGACAUUACAACUGAAAUGUGCCCCUGACACCAGUUUUUGAGCCUCUGCAUUUUAAUUCAAUGUGCUUGCUCUGUCUCAAGGUCUCCAGCUUAUAGCAUGCCCUUUCCUGAGGAACAUAAAUUACCUAAAUCCAAUAUUAGUGUCUGUCUUUCUUCUUGAGAAGGAGGAGAUGGUCAUUUGCUUGAGGCAUUUGGUGACCACAUUGUCAAUCAUGAUAGGGCCAGUGAAGGGUCUGAGGAUAAGCCAUUGUUUUACCGAGGCACAGAGAAAUAAAC